rnacentral:misc_RNA from 1 species
GCUGAGCGCUGCUGUCUCCACAGCUCGCUUCAAAUGUAUAAGCAAUCUUUGUACUACUCGGAUUGACUUGACGUGAUAAGAUCUUCGUCGAGGAUGCUUUUUAUAGCAGCCGGAUUCUACACAAGUCGCUUCUAAACCUGCACAUGUGCAACACUUUGAUUUUAGACCUCAAAUCAGAUGGGACUACCCGCUGAACUUAA